rnacentral:lncRNA from 1 species
UUUGGGCUGCUGACAAUUGACAUGGCCUCUUUUUGUUUAAAAUCAUUAGGCCCAAAUCAAUUAAUCAUGGUCCAUGGUUUUUUUCCCAAAUCAAGUCCAAAUCCAAUACUCCAAUCCAAUUUCAAAUUCGUAAAAGGGAAACCUGAGGCUGAAGUGUUUGAAAGCCUGAAACCGACAGCAAACCCUUCCCCAAUUCCAUAAUUUCCAUUCGAAGCAAAAGCAACAGCUGCGCCUGCGAUUUGUGCAAAGUUCGAGCUACGAAUGAUGGUCACUACUUUGCUGUUAGCUCUUGCUGCUGCUGACGCGACCCCAUGGGCGAGGCGCUGAGGAAGAGGAUAAGGAGUCACCGUCGACGACGUCUUUCUUCGAGCAGCCUACAGGUGAGCGUGCAUUUCUCUUAUUCUCUUUCUCUAUUGUUUUUCUUUUUGUUUUCUUAAGGAAACCAAAUAUUUCCCUAAAAUGGAAUUAAUUAUCUGCAGUUAAGUAAUAGUAAUAAGAGUUUGACGUGUAUAACAAUAUAAGGAAAGGGAAAUAAAAAAGUGAAAGAGAGAGGGGCUGUAAAGGAUCGACGACAUGGAAGUUGGAACUAUGUUAUUGGUUUUGAAUUUUGCUUACUGAAUUCUUAUAUUGAAUUGAACUCUAAUUCGAAAUGAAUUCUACCUUUGAAGCUUAAAAUUACUAAUUAAUACAUGAAAUUAGAACAAUAAUAGAUUUAAUUUGUGUUAUCAAGCUUCAAUUAGUUUCAAAUUUCACUUGAGUUGUUGAAUGUUGAGUGUUGACUGUAAUUUGUGUUAUUAGUCUUAUUAAUCAAUAAUCGCAUUUGAAUUAUGAUAAAUUUGUUUUUUAUGAGUGUUAUUAGCCUACAGGCA